AACAGCGGUAAGGGCCGCCCAACCACCUCCUGUCUGCUUCUUUAAGUAGAAGCCGUGCCUGCUCCUCCAUCUUUCGGUGGCUGUGAAGCUGGCGAGGUCCCUGCCGGGCCGAAGACGUUGGAUCUUACUGCCCUGGCACUUCGAUCCUCGCCCGAAGGCCCGCAAUAAAAUGUUUUGAUCCCAACGAUGGUGUCGGUGUUUCUUACCGCGACGCGCUGCCUUUGAGCCCCCGCCGCGCCUGCGCGUGGCGCCGGGGGUCAGGCUGCAGCGCCAGAGCACAGGCUUGCGCAUAACUGGGGCAGUCGGCUCUUCGCCGGCGGCCCUUUUAACCGCAAGCGACACUGCGGCACCGCGCUGCGGGAGGCGAGUUUCCCCGGGAGGAGGGGACAGUUGUGACGACUUAGCUGUUAAAGCCAAUGUUGAAAUGCCCCAGACGUAGGGGGAUCCUGUAGGCUCAGCUGCUUAGUUCCCUGCACGUUCUUUGUACCUGCCUUUAAGCCUCGACUGGCUUGGUGUGAUCAGUGAGACUUGGAGCUUCAGCCAACCGCGGCUUGGAUGGUCUCGAGUUGAGCAACGGGCCACGGCCUUGAGCAGUUUAAGGGCGUGGUGUACUUGACACCCUUAGGUCUUGAGGUGCAUGAAGUUACCUGGCUACGGUGUAGCCGCGACCUUUUUACAGAAUAUUUAGGGCCAACUGCUCUUUUGGAUACCAUGCCAAGGUCAGGCAAAUGAAUGUCGUCUCAUUCAGCCUAAACGGCUUACAACAGGGUCGUUGUGAAGAGUUAGAUUUUACACAUUACAGGAUACAACACAGGCACCUAAAUUAAGUGCACAAUCCUUUGGAAUUCAGGUUCUAGAUGCUGAACGAUCUGAGUUUAGUUGGGAUGUGCGUCCGUCCUGAGUACAAGGUAGCACGUGUUGAGGGGCAAGGAUGCACAAGUGCAGGUAAACUGCCCUGGCCCUUAACUGAAGGGGGCCCAAGGUAACAUGACUACUCGGAUAACUACCUCCCUCGCGCUAAGGUGUGACUACCUACGAUCGUUAAAAGGGCUGGUCCAGUGAUCACUCAGGAAAUUGAAGUGCUUGGCAACAGAGGGCCCAUGUGCCUUAGACCCACUGCUCUGUGCCUGUUGCUAAACAAGAUUCAGUAGAAAAAACUUAGAUGCUUAUCUAGUAUUUGACGAGAUAUUUAUUUUGUGAAAUAAUGCAAGCGAUUGUACAUCCCCACAUACCGUUGAAGUGCAAUAGGGUACAGUCAUGUGUGAUCUCUACACAGUAGUGCAUCUAGUCCUUUGCCUUUAGUUAUUGCACAGAAAUAUAAAGACCAGUGUAACAAGACAUGCGGACUGACAAGCAAAUUGGCCUACACAAUGAGAAAUUAGAACAGUACACCAGCUGGAAUGGUCAAAUAAUUUAAACGAAAUGGUUUAAUAGUGUAAUUAAAGUAAUCGAAUAAGGGUUCAAAUAUUUUUUCAAUAUAUUAAUUUAAAGUCAUGUUCAGGCAAGGUGCAGUUUUAAAAAAAAAACCACUAUUAGCUUAGUCCACAGAUGUAAGAUCAAAAGUUACCCAGGGUAAUUUUGAUGUUGAAUGAAGCUUUAAACAAAAUCAUUUUAAAGUACUUCUCGAAGCAAAUUACACAAUUAGAGCCUCCACACUUGUAAACUAAACAUUCUGACACAAAUGCACAAAAUAAAGUUGGCAACAUUGAAGAAA